CAUAGGUUAAUGAGGCGAACCGGGGGAACUGAAACAUCUAAGUACCCCGAGGAAAAGAAAUCAACCGAGAUUCCCCCAGUAGCGGCGAGCGAACGGGGAGGAGCCCAGAGCCUGAAUCAGUGUGUGUGUUAGUGGAAGCGUCUGGAAAGGCGCGCGAUACAGGGUGACAGCCCCGUACACAAAAAUGCACAUGCUGUGAGCUCGAUGAGUAGGGCGGGACACGUGGUAUCCUGUCUGAAUAUGGGGGGACCAUCCUCCAAGGCUAAAUACUCCUGACUGACCGAUAGUGAACCAGUACCGUGAGGGAAAGGCGAAAAGAACCCCGGCGAGGGGAGUGAAAAAGAACCUGAAACCGUGUACGUACAAGCAGUGGGAGCACGCUUAGGCGUGUGACUGCGUACCUUUUGUAUAAUGGGUCAGCGACUUAUAUUCUGUAGCAAGGUUAACCGAAUAGGGGAGCCGAAGGGAAACCGAGUCUUAACUGGGCGUUAAGUUGCAGGGUAUAGACCCGAAACCCGGUGAUCUAGCCAUGGGCAGGUUGAAGGUUGGGUAACACUAACUGGAGGACCGAACCGACUAAUGUUGAAAAAUUAGCGGAUGACUUGUGGCUGGGGGUGAAAGGCCAAUCAAACCGGGAGAUAGCUGGUUCUCCCCGAAAGCUAUUUAGGUAGCGCCUCGUGAAUUCAUCUCCGGGGGUAGAGCACUGUUUCGGCAAGGGGGUCAUCCCGACUUACCAACCCGAUGCAAACUGCGAAUACCGGAGAAUGUUAUCACGGGAGACACACGGCGGGUGCUAACGUCCGUCGUGAAGAGGGAAACAACCCAGACCGCCAGCUAAGGUCCCAAAGUCAUGGUUAAGUGGGAAACGAUGUGGGAAGGCCCAGACAGCCAGGAUGUUGGCUUAGAAGCAGCCAUCAUUUAAAGAAAGCGUAAUAGCUCACUGGUCGAGUCGGCCUGCGCGGAAGAUGUAACGGGGCUAAACCAUGCACCGAAGCUGCGGCAGCGACGCUUAUGCGUUGUUGGGUAGGGGAGCGUUCUGUAAGCCUGUGAAGGUGUGCUGUGAGGCAUGCUGGAGGUAUCAGAAGUGCGAAUGCUGACAUAAGUAACGAUAAAGCGGGUGAAAAGCCCGCUCGCCGGAAGACCAAGGGUUCCUGUCCAACGUUAAUCGGGGCAGGGUGAGUCGACCCCUAAGGCGAGGCCGAAAGGCGUAGUCGAUGGGAAACAGGUUAAUAUUCCUGUACUUGGUGUUACUGCGAAGGGGGGACGGAGAAGGCUAUGUUGGCCGGGCGACGGUUGUCCCGGUUUAAGCGUGUAGGCUGGUUUUCCAGGCAAAUCCGGAAAAUCAAGGCUGAGGCGUGAUGACGAGGCACUACGGUGCUGAAGCAACAAAUGCCCUGCUUCCAGGAAAAGCCUCUAAGCAUCAGGUAACAUCAAAUCGUACCCCAAACCGACACAGGUGGUCAGGUAGAGAAUACCAAGGCGCUUGAGAGAACUCGGGUGAAGGAACUAGGCAAAAUGGUGCCGUAACUUCGGGAGAAGG
rnacentral:rRNA from 1 species